GACGAACGCUGGCGGCGCGCUUAACACAUGCAAGUCGAGCGGAAAGGCCUGCUUUCCCUUGUGGAUUGCGGGUACUCGAGUGGCGAACGGGUGAGUAACACGUGAGUGAUCUGCCCCCAACUUGGGUAUAAGCCUGGGAAACUGGGUCUAAUUCCCGAUAGGACUGCAGGGUGGUGCCUGUGGUGGAAAACGAUUUUCUAGUGGUUGGGGAUGAGCUCGCGGCCUAUCAGCUUGUUGGUGGGGUAAUGGCCUACCAAGGCGGCGACGGGUAGCCGGCCUGAGAGGGUGGACGGCCACAUUGGGACUGAGAUACGGCCCAGACUCCUACGGGAGGCAGCAGUGGGGAAUAUUGCACAAUGGGCGGAAGCCUGAUGCAGCGACGCCGCGUGGGGGAUGACGGCCUUCGGGUUGUAAACUCCUUUCGACCGCGAGGAAGCUACCUGGUUGGAAGGGUGGUGACGGUAGUGGUAGAAGAAGCACCGGCUAACUACGUG
rnacentral:rRNA from 1 species